rnacentral:rRNA from 1 species
AUUGAACGCUGGCGGCAUGCUUUACACAUGCAAGUCGAACGGCAGCACGGGGGCAACCCUGGUGGCGAGUGGCGAACGGGUGAGUAAUACAUCGGAACGUGUCCUGUGGUGGGGGAUAACCUGGCGAAAGCCAGGCUAAUACCGCAUAAGCUCGUAAGAGGAAAGCAGGGGACUCGCAAGAGCCUUGCGCCGAAGGAGCGGCCGAUGUCCGAUUGGCUAGUUGGUGGGGUAAAGGCCCACCAAGGCGACGAUCGGUAGCUGGUCUGAGAGGAUGAUCAGCCACACUGGGACUGAGACACGGCCCAGACUCCUACGGGAGGCAGCAGUGGGGAAUUUUGGACAAUGGGCGCAAGCCUGAUCCAGCCAUGCCGCGUGCAGGAUGAAGGCCUUCGGGUUGUAAACUGCUUUUGUACGGAACGAAAAGGUUUGGCUUAAUACGUUGAACUCAUGACGGUACCGUAAGAAUAAGCACCGGCUAACUACGUGCCAGCCGCCGCGGUAA